rnacentral:lncRNA from 1 species
CGGCCUGGGUCUAGGCACAUGACAUUGUUCUUUGGCCCUUUGAAGGUCCUGCAACCCUGGUUCCAGUCUGGCAAGCAUUGUAGACCUGGCUGCUGAAGACUGACGGGGCCCAGGGUCCGCUGCCCCCACCGCCAUCACCACCUCGGAACCCAGGGUAACGCUGUCAGUCUUUGGACCAACCUCGCUGUGCCUAACAAGAAUUCCAGAAGUCACCCAUCCGAAAGGCACUGGCCCAUGACACUCUCCACUUCCAAUCUUAAAUCUUUUACUUCAUACCUUGUCUCAGAUCUCUCCUGGUACCCCUUCCCCACGCCCUUAGAUAAUCCAUCUCAAUUCCUCAUGCUAAUUGAGGAGCUAUGGCUGCAAGGCACCUUCCAGGAUUUCACACCUACACAAAUCUCCUUUUUCUCCUUUUGCCUUCUCUGCUUAUGGGAUAUUCUGAGUCCCCACCCCCAAUCACUGACAGCUGGGCCCCCUUCGUCAGCCUCACACACCACGUAUUAAGUCAGUCACAAUCUCCCCUCUCCUCUAACUGCUGGAUUUGUCUUUCUACACACACCCAAUGAUUCACGGCUCUUCCAGCUGACCUACUUACAUGGACACAGUCCAACGUGAGCUUACACAUUUCUUACUUGGCUAUACCAUUCUUGGCUGAUUCAUUCCUGAAACCGGUUCAUAACCUGGAAACUCAACUAAACACCUUUCCUUCAAACUCAGCUCUCUCAGCAUGGUUUCAGGUAGGGCUGUUGCCCUCCUUCACCUAAUAGCUUCUGGACUAACAUCCAUACAAACCAACACAGCGUCAUCUAAACCACCAAUAUGGGGGUACCAUUUCUACUCAAACUUCCUUCAUAUCCCCACCCCCCUUAUGUCUCAGCCAAACCUACCCUAAUCCAGCCCACGCCACAAUGGUGGGACAGGUUCCCCAGUCCCUAUGUGGUCUUAUUUUUACCCUUGCACUCCCUGUAGACCAUCAAUUCUACACCCUAAUUACAAAAUCAGAUCCACCUCUGCCUGGCAGAAGGUGUUAUGCUUUUCUGGCUCGCCUACCAUCCACACAUCCCUACACCUCAC